UACGGAGGGUGCAAACGUUGCUCGGAAUUAUUGGGCGUAAAGCGCGCGUAGGCGGUCGUUUAAGUCGGAUGUGAAAGCCCCAGGCUUAACCUGGGAAGCGCAUUCGAAACUGGACGGCUGGAGUACAGAAGAGGGUCUCGGAAUUCCCGGUGUAGAGGUGAAAUUCGUAGAUAUCGGGAGGAACACCAGUGGCGAAGGCGGAGACCUGGGCUGAUACUGACGCUGAGGUGCGAAAGCGUGGGGAGCAAACAGG
rnacentral:rRNA from 1 species